UAGGGAAUAUUGCAAAAUGGGCGAAAGCCCGAUGCAGCAACGCCGCGUGGGCGAUGAAGGCCUUCGGGUCGUAAAGCCCUUUUUGAGGGGAUGAGGAAGGACAGUACCCUCAGAAUAAGCCUCGGCUAACUACGUGCCAGCAGCCGCGGUAAAACGUAGGAGGCGAGCGUUAUCCGGAUUUACUGGGCGUAAAGCGCGUGCAGGCGGAUUGGAGAGUUGGAUGUGAAAGCUCCCGGCUUAACUGGGAGAGGUCGUUCAAUACUUCCAGUCUUGAGUGCAGUUGAGGGAAGUGGAAUUCCGUGUGUAGUGGUGAAAUGCGUAGAUAUCCGGAGGAACACCAGUGGCGAAAGCGGCUUCCUGGACUGUAACUGACGCUCAGACGCGAAAGCUAGGGUAGCAAACG
rnacentral:rRNA from 1 species